GACGAACCGUGCGAACGUUAUUCGGAAUCACUGGGCUUAAAGCGCGUGUAGGCGGAUGGGAACGUCGGUAGUUGAAAGCCCCCGGCUCAACCGGGGAAGUGGUGUCGAAACGACCCGUCUGGAGGGACGUAGGGGGACCUGGAACUUCCGGUGGAGCGGUGAAAUGCGUUGAGAUCGGAAGGAACGCCCGUGGCGAAAGCGAGGUCCUGGACGUCUACUGACGCUGAGACGCGAAAAGCUAGGGGAGCAAACGGG
rnacentral:rRNA from 1 species